AACACCGGCGGCCCGAGUGGUGAUCGUGAUUAUUGGGUCUAAAGGGUCCGUAGCCGGUUUGGUCAGUCCUCCGGGAAAUCUGAUAGCUCAACUAUUAGGCUUUCGGGGGAUACUGCCAGACUUGGAACCGGGAGAGGUAAGAGGUACUACAGGGGUAGGAGUGAAAUCUUGUAAUCCCUGUGGGACCACCUGUGGCGAAGGCGUCUUACCAGAACGGGUUCGACGGUGAGGGACGAAAGCUGGGGGCACGAACCGGAUUAGAUACCCGGGUAGUCCCAGCCGUAAACGAUGCUCGCUAGGUGUCAGGCAUGGCGCGACCGUGUCUGGUGCCGCAGGGAAGCCGUGAAGCGAGCCACCUGGGAAGUACGGCCGCAAGGCUGAAACUUAAAGGAAUUGGCGGGGGAGCACAACAACGGGUGGAAGCCUGCGGUUUAAUUGGACUCAACGCCGGACAACUCACCGGGGGCGACAGCAAUAUGUAGGCCAAGCUGAAGACUUUGCCUGAAUCGCUGAGAGGAGGUGCAUGG
rnacentral:rRNA from 1 species